GCCGGGUUGGCUGAGUGGUGUAGGCGGCUGCCUGCAGAGCAGCUUCACGGGGGUUCGAAUCCCUCACCCGGCU
rnacentral:tRNA from 1 species